AGUGAACGCUGGCAGCGUGCUUAACACAUGCAAGUCGAACGAGAACGGGUUAUAGCUUGCUAUAAUUGUCAGCUAAGUGGCGCACGGGUGAGUAAUGUAUAGGUAAUAUGCCUCUUACUAAGGGAUAACAAAUGGAAACGUUUGCUAAUACCUUAUACUCCUUAUUAACAGAAGUUAAUAAGGGAAAGAUUUAUUGGUAAGAGAUUAGCCUGUAUUGUAUCAGUUAGUUGGUGGGGUAAUGGCUUACCAAGACUAUGACACAUAACUGGUUUGAGAGGAUGAUCAGUCACACUGGAACUGAGACACGGUCCAGACUCCUACGGGAGGCAGCAGUGGGGAAUAUUGCACAAUGGACGGAAGUCUGAUGCGGCAACGCCGCGUGGAGGAUGACACAUUUCGGUGCGUAAACUCCUUUUAUAUGAGAAGAUAAUGACGGUAUUAUAUGAAUAAGCACCGGCUAACUCCGUGCCAGCCGCCGCGGUAA
rnacentral:rRNA from 1 species